rnacentral:rRNA from 1 species
UACGUAGGGGGCAAGCGUUGUCCGGAAUCAUUGGGCGUAAAGCGCGUGUAGGCGGCCCGGUAAGUCCGCUGUGAAAGUCGGGGGCUCAACCCUCGAAUGCCGGUGGAUACUGUCGGGCUAGAGUGCGGAAGAGGAGUGUGGAAUUCCUGGUGUAGCGGUGAAAUGCGCAGAUAUCAGGAGGAACACCAAUGGCGAAGGCAGCACUCUGGGACGUGACUGACGCUGAGACGCGAAAGCGUGGGGAGCAAACAGG